rnacentral:lncRNA from 1 species
GCCGGUACAGCCAGCUCCCACCCUGGUGUCGAAUCCCGCCCCCCAACCUCACUCUGCCGUUCGAGUCCAGACCCGGGGGCGCUUGGGACCUGCGAGACUGUGACUGAGUCUGCGCUCCUGGACUUGAUACCCCCACCUGGUGCUCAGCGCGUUCAGGGAUCUCGGACCCCGACAGCAAUCGCAAAGCAGAUGCACUGCCCCACGUGCCCCCAGGCUCCUCUUUCAAAAUUAGACAAAACUUCAAAGCCUGCUGCAGACUUUCAGGAACUGUUGAAAUUACUUUUUGGAAUUUUUUUGUGCUGAGUAUUGUUCAAAAGUGAGCAAUUGGCCUAUGCUUGAAAUACUUUCGUUUGACAGAAAUUUUUCUCUCUAAAAGCAUGUAACAAUAAAUUCAAUAAAUUAAAAAAAUUUUUUAAAGUAUGUAACUAUAUUUAAUUAGGACCCAAAUAAAUAUUCCUACAGUAAUCAUUAUGCUAUGUUGGCAGUAGAAGCAAUCACUUCCAUCAGGGCAAGGAACAGCUUCCAAUAAAGCCAAGAGGUAAGCAAACUUCUAGGUGGCAAGGCAUUGUCCCUCGCUGGACACAGAGCCUCUCCAUCUUUGGCAGCAGCCCCAGGGACUGUCUCACGUAGCUUGUUUCACGAUUUACGGCA